CCUUGCCAUUUGCUUACAUUUGUUAUAUGAUUGUGAUAUUAAUUUGUAAAUUAAUCCACAAUUGUGAUAACUCAGCUUUGGAAAUGCUUGUCAGUUUCCAAACUGAUGUUAUUGCAUGCACACUUUUACACAUUAUUAGGCAUUGUAAGUCUGAAUACAUAUUACCAAUUUGCAGCCUCUAACAGGUUGUUCGGAUACUUGUUGGAAGUCAUAGUCAUCCUCUUGGGAUUAUUAUUUGCUGUUUUGGCAAUGCUUUUCCUUUAUGGUACUUGAGUAUCUAUUAAUAUCUUUCAGCUUUCGCUGUUUAAUUUAUUAAAAUCCUUUGAGCAAAGUUCUGACCUUUUUCACAUCCCUGCAUUCAUGCGUAACACCUGCUCUAAAUAUUUCUACUUUUUUAUCUGUUGUGUACAGGAGAACCUUGAGAAUGCCAACGUUGGGUCAGAUGAACCCAAGCUGUUCCCUGAUCAUGUUACUACUCAGGAGAACCUUGAGAAUGCCAACGUUGGGUCAGAUGAACCCAAGCUGUUCCCUGAUCAUGUUACUACUCAGGUAAUUGAAUGUUAUAUAACCUGUAUUUACUCUCCAUUUUAUGUGGUAUCUUUUCUAGCAUGUUUGCCAAGUAAGGAUGCAACUAAUAUUCCACCUCGGAAACAUCCUGUCCAUCAUUUUGUAGUAGAGUUCACGUGACCGCACACCUUUCUAGCCUAACCCUCUGGAUAUCUUUUGAACACAUUCAUUUACCCUUAUGGGGUCCAUUCAAUUUGAUGGUUCAAUUUUUGUCGUUGAAAUUCACAUCACACACACACACUUGUUUCCAGUCUUGACAUAGUGGGGCCCUCCCGUUUUGAUUAUAUUUGAGGUGAUUUUAAAUACCUUUAGAAAUGCUUGUCAGUUUCCAAACUGAUGUUAUUGCAUGCACACUUUUACACAUUAUUAGGCAUUGUCAGUCUUGACAGUUGAAUCAAACGUAUUACCAAUUGGCAGCCUCUAACAGGUUGUUAGGAUACUUGUUGGAAGUCAUAGUCAUCCUCUUGGGAUUAUUAUUUGCUGUUUUGGCAAUGCUUUUCCUUUAUGGUACUUGAGUAUCUAUUAAUAUCUUUCAGCUUUUGCUGUUUAAUUUAUUAAAAUCCUUUGAGCAAAGUUCUGACCUUUUUCACAUCCCUGCAUUCAUGCGUAACACCUGCUCUAAAUAUUUCUACUUUUUUAUCUGUUGUGUACAGUAGAACCUUGAGAAUGCCAACGUUGGGUCAGAUGAACCCAAGCUGUUCCCUGAUCAUGUUACUACUCAGGUAAUUGAAUGUUAUAUAACCUGUAUUUACUCUCCAUUUUAUGUGGUAUCUUUUCUAGCAUGUUUGCCAAGUAAGGAUGCAACUAAUAUUCCACCUCGGAAACAUCCUGUCCAUCAUUUAGUAGUAGAGUUCACCUGACCGCACACCUUUCUAGCCUAACCCUCUGGAUAUCUUUUGAACACAUUCAUUUACACUUAUGGGGUCCAUUCAAUUUGAUGGUUCAAUUUUUGUUGUUGAAAUUCACAUCACACACACACACUUGUUUCCAGUCUUGACAUAGUGGGGCCCUCCCGUUUUGAUUAUAUUUGAGGUGAUUUUAAAUACCUUUAGAAAUGCUUGUCAGUUUCCAAACUGAUGUUAUUGCAUGCACACUUUUACACAUUAUUAGGCAUUGUCAGUCUAGACACUUGAAUCAAACGUAUUACCAAUUGGCAGCCUCUAACAGGUUGUUGGGAGUUAUAGCCAUGCUCUUGGGAUUAUUAUUUGCUGUUUUGGCAAUGUUUUUCCUUAAUGGUACUU
ensembl:lncRNA